GGGCAGGCGUCACACCGUAUACGUCCACUUUCGUGUUUGCACAGUGCUGUGUUUUUAAUAAACAGUUGCAGCCAGCUGGUAUCUUCGACUGACUUCAGCUCCAUGAGUAAAUCACUUCACCUACGUGUCAGCGUGCCUUCUCCCGAAGUUACGGCACCAUUUUGCCUAGUUCCUUCACCCGAGUUCUCUCAAGCGCCUUGGUAUUCUCUACCUGACCACCUGUGUCGGUUUGGGGUACGAUUUGAUGUUACCUGAUGCUUAGAGGCUUUUCCUGGAAGCAGGGCAUUUGUUGCUUCAGCACCGUAGUGCCUCGUCGUCACGCCUCAGUGUUAAAGUGAACCGGAUUUACCUGGAACACACACCUACACGCUUAAACCGGGACAACCGUCGCCCGGCCAACAUAGCCUUCUCCGUCCCCCCNNNNNNNNNNNNNNNNNNNNCCCCCCUUCGCAGUAACACCAAGUACGGGAAUAUUAACCCGUUUCCCAUCGACUACGCCUUUCGGCCUCGCCUUAGGGGUCGACUCACCCUGCCCCGAUUAACGUUGGACAGGAACCCUUGGUCUUCCGGCGAGCGGGCUUUUCACCCGCUUUAUCGUUACUUAUGUCAGCAUUCGCACUUCUGAUACCUCCAGCAACCCUCACAGGCCACCUUCACAGGCUUACAGAACGCUCCCCUACCCAACAACACCUGAGUGUCGCUGCCGCAGCUUCGGUGCAUGGUUUAGCCCCGUUACAUCUUCCGCGCAGGCCGACUCGACCAGUGAGCUAUUACGCUUUCUUUAAAUGAUGGCUGCUUCUAAGCCAACAUCCUGGCUGUCUGGGCCUUCCCACAUCGUUUCCCACUUAACCAUGACUUUGGGACCUUAGCUGGCGGUCUGGGUUGUUUCCCUCUUCACGACGGACGUUAGCACCCGCCGUGUGUCUCCCGUGAUAACAUUCUCCGGUAUUCGCAGUUUGCAUCGGGUUGGUAAGCCGGGAUGGCCCCCUAGCCGAAACAGUGCUCUACCCCCGGAGAUGAAUUCACGAGGCGCUACCUAAAUAGCUUUCGGGGAGAACCAGCUAUCUCCCGGUUUGAUUGGCCUUUCACCCCCAGCCACAGGUCAUCCGCUAAUUUUUCAACAUUAGUCGGUUCGGUCCUCCAGUUAGUGUUACCCAACCUUCAACCUGCCCAUGGCUAGAUCACCGGGUUUCGGGUCUAUACCCUGCAACUUAACGCCCGGUUAAGACUCGGUUUCCCUCCGGCUCCCCUAUACGGUUAACCUUGCUACAGAAUAUAAGUCGCUGACCCAUUAUACAAAAGGUACGCAGUCACACAGGUAAACCUGUGCUCCCACUGCUUGUACGUACACGGUUUCAGGUUCUUUUUCACUCCCCUCGCCGGGGUUCUUUUCGCCUUUCCCUCACGGUACUGGUUCACUAUCGGUCAGUCAGGAGUAUUUAGCCUUGGAGGAUGGUCCCCCCAUAUUCAGACAGGAUACCACGUGUCCCGCCCUACUCAUCGAGCUCACAGCACAUGCGCUUUUGUGUACGGGGCUGUCACCCUGUAUCGCGCGCCUUUCCAGACGCUUCCACUAACACACAUGCUGAUUCAGGCUCUGGGCUCCUCCCCGUUCGCUCGCCGCUACUGGGGGAAUCUCGGUUGAUUUCUUUUCCUCGGGGUACUUAGAUGUUUCAGUUCCCCCGGUUCGCCUCAUUAACCUAUGGAUUCAGUUAAUGAUAGUGUGACGAAUCACACUGGGUUUCCCCAUUCGGAAAUCGCCGGUUAUAACGGUUCAUAUCACCUUACCGGCGCUUAUCGCAGAUUAGCACGUCCUUCAUCGCCUCUGACUGCCAGGGCAUCCACCGUGUACGCUUAGUCGCUUAACCUCACAACCCGAAGAUGUUUCUUACGAUUCAUCAUCGUGUUGCGAAAAUUUGAGAGACUCACGAACAACUUUCGUUGUUCUGUGUUUCAAUUUUCAGCUUGAUCCAGAUUUUUAAAGAGCAAA
rnacentral:rRNA from 1 species